GACGUAGGGCGCGAGCGUUGUCCGGAUUUAUUGGGCGUAAAGAGCUCGUAGGCGGCUUGUCGCGUCGACCGUGAAAACUUGGGGCUCAACCCCAAGCCUGCGGUCGAUACGGGCAGGCUAGAGUUCGGUAGGGGAGACUGGAAUUCCUGGUGUAGCGGUGAAAUGCGUAGAUAUCAGGAGGAAUACCUAUGGCGAAAGCAGGUAUCUGGGCCAUCACUGACGCUGAGCUGCGAAAGCUAGGGGAGCAAACAGG
rnacentral:rRNA from 1 species